CGAAUGGCGUAAUGAUGGCCAGGCUGUCUCCACCCGAGACUCAGUGAAAUUGAACUCGCUGUGAAGAUGCAGUGUACCCGCGGCAAGACGGAAAGACCCCGUGAACCUUUACUAUAGCUUGACACUGAACAUUGAGCCUUGAUGUGUAGGAUAGGUGGGAGGCUUUGAAGCGUGGACGCCAGUCUGCGUGGAGCCGACCUUGAAAUACCACCCUUUAAUGUUUGAUGUUCUAACGUGGACCCGUAAUCCGGGUUGCGGACAGUGUCUGGUGGGUAGUUUGACUGGGGCGGUCUCCUCCUAAAGAGUAACGGAGGAGCACGAAGGUUGGCUAAUCCUGGUCGGACAUCAGGAGGUUAGUGCAAUGGCAUAAGCCAGCUUGACUGCGAGCGUGACGGCGCGAGCAGGUGCGAAAGCAGGUCAUAGUGAUCCGGUGGUUCUGAAUGGAAGGGCCAUCGCUCAACGGAUAAAAGGUACUCCGGGGAUAACAGGCUGAUACCGCCCAAGAGUUCAUAUCGACGGCGGUGUUUGGCACCUCGAUGUCGGCUCAUCACAUCCUGGGGCUGAAGUAGGUCCCAAGGGUAUGGCUGUUCGCCAUUUAAAGUGGUACGCGAGCUGGGUUUAGAACGUCGUGAGACAGUUCGGUCCCUAUCUGCCGUGGGCGCUGGAGAACUGAGGGGGGCUGCUCCUAGUACGAGAGGACCGGAGUGGACGCAUCACUGGUGUUCGGGUUGUCAUGCCAAUGGCACUGCCCGGUAGCUAAAUGCGGAAGAGAUAAGUGCUGAAAGCAUCUAAGCACGAAACUUGCCCCGA
rnacentral:rRNA from 1 species